CAAAUUAAAGCUUUAGAGAGAAGCGUUUUAUUUACAUUAAAGAGAUUGUUUUAAUAGAUGUAGUUUGA
rnacentral:tRNA from 1 species